UACGUAGGGUGCAAGCGUUGUCCGGAUUUAUUGGGCGUAAAGAGCUCGUAGGCGGUUUGGCAAGUCAGGUGUGAAAACUUCAGGCUCAACCUGGAGAUGCCACCUGAUACUGCUAUGACUUGAGUCUGGUAGGGGAUCACGGAAUUCCUGGUGUAGCGGUGAAAUGCGCAGAUAUCAGGAGGAACACCGGUGGCGAAGGCGGUGAUCUGGGCCAGUACUGACGCUGAGGAGCGAAAGCGUGGGGAGCAAACAGG
rnacentral:rRNA from 1 species